rnacentral:tRNA from 1 species
UAGAUUGAAGCCAGUUCUUGGGUGUUUAGCUGUUAACUAAAAGUUUAUAGGUUUGAAUCCUAUCAAUCUAG